UGUGUUUGCACAAGCCUGCGAUAAAUGACAGAGGAGCUGAUGGGUGAAAUCUGAGCCAGCAAGAACAAAACUGCAAGUAAAAGCCUGGCUCCGGUUCUUGGUCUGCUUUCAAAUGUGGCCACACAGGCGCGUGGGCUCUCCCAAGGCAGCGCUGAGGGGCAGGAGCCAACUGCCUGUAGUGGCUGCAGAGGUCAGGAAGAAACACGCAGGGCUGCAUCUUUUGCUGGCUGUGCUGCCUUCUGCUUCCUGAAAGUGUAUGCAAAGCUUUAGCGCAAGGGGGAGGUUACAUGAGACGGCCAAGCUUGUGGAAGCCUGUUACCCUGGGGACAACGAUGUCCAUUUCCACCAAAACCUUCUGACCCUUGGUGAAAUCCUUCCAAUUCUCACUCCCCCUUGCGCCAAGGACGCAUGGUGCCCAUACGAGCACCAAGCCUGGCACCACGGCCUGCCAAGGUGGAGGUGAGCGCUGGAGCAGCAAGCGCACCACCCCUGAGGAAUAGCCGCGGUGGGGAUUUCCUGGGCUGUCCCCGCGAUUGCAGAAAUGGGCAUGUGGCAACCCAGGCUGAGUGUGAAAAGCGAUGUGUAGGAGAAGCUGGAAGGUGCCCACAGCCCAGCUGUCCUAGGGUUUCAUACAUGAGGAACUCUCUUCUCUGCAAAUGUCACUGUGAGCACGCUUGCUCCUUUUCCUCAAAAUUUCUGAGAAAUUCCUCAGCCUACUGAAGCCCUGACAAUGGUUAUGCAGUUGCUUUGCUGAGCCGCUGCCUGAGAAGCAUGACUGAGCAGUGCCUGCAGGAUGGGCAGCCACCGGCAGCAACAUCUCGUGGGAGGGAACAAUAAACAGGGGAGGGCCAUAAAUGUUCUCAGGAGCCUUGCUAAUCCCUGUGAUGUCAGUGAAUGAAGAGAGUCACCAUCACCUUAAUAACCUUAACAACAAUUUGUGCCUUGUCAUGGUGACUUUGAGUAUUUAAUCAGGCCGGGCAUUAUUUGAGAUCUCUGCCUUAGCCAAAACGUAAUUGCUCCCACCAGCAAGUUCUCUUCUUAGGAUCACUCAUUAAUGAAUAUUUAUUUUGUGAUUUACCUCCUGGAAAUAAUGCCAUCCAUGUUCACUUUUUUUUUAUCAGUAAAGCAUAACUCAUUAAUGCUGUUUUCAGAGUGCACAGCGGAGAUACCGAGUGAUGUGGUCACUCGCUGCAAGCCGUGGAGUGGGUCAGUGACUCACUGGAAUGGCAGCUCUAUGGUGGGCAGUUUUUGUUUAGAUUUCAUUGCAGGAAAACCAAAAUAAGUAAUACAGGCUGGGAGAAAAGCUUCAAAACAAAUGAACCGGAACAAUCACUCCCAAACCAGUGCUAUUCAGAAUUUGGUUGAGUCUUAUGUUGCAUGAUAAACAGUGACCACUGGAUCCUCUUGUCAUGUUCAAAAAUAAAGUGAUAACCAGUAAAUGCAGAAGUCUGUCAAAGAAAAGGGCUAAAUUUUCAAGUGAUAGAAGCCUAAUUAGAACAGGGGAAGGAAGUUUAGCCUCCGCGUGAUCUUCCUUCCCAUGCAGUCUUUGUUUUAAUAAAGUUAAACACCACCUAGUAACCCCAGCUCUUCUUCGCGCUGAUGUGAUUUGAAAGCGUUGUGCUGGGGGUGACAGGGGAUCCUAACAACCGGCAGUGAAUUGUCUUGGUAACAGGAAAACAAUGACAGCCGGCAGCGAACUGAAAUAGCAUAGUAGAAACCACAUUUUCCUCUUUUCUAGACCCAUAUGAAUUUUAGUUAGAUUGAGCAGGUCGUGCUACUGUAUUCCUGCAAAAAGUCUGUGAGUAGUUUCCGUGCUUAGUUUCACAAGGAGCAGGGCACUUUAUAUUAGAAAAAGAGGAAGCUCUGAGAGGUCUGAACCUAUUCAGGUAGGAUUUCCCCUGAUGGAGUACAGCUGUAGGAAACUAAUAUAGCAAAAUGCAGUGCAAAACCGUAUGGAAGGGGCAAGGGAUGGGAAUUUUAUUUUAGAGAGCCCUAAGUGAGCUGAUUCAACCCAUCACACUCUCACACCCACAUACUCACAAGCACCGACGUGUGUAUUCAAGGUGUCUGGCCAGGAGCCCUUGUGUGUGAUAUGGAGGACAAGCAGUGCUGCUCUUGGGUCCGCACCACUUCUCUUGGCUUAAUCCUGACUGGCAGUGCUGACCUGUUGCUUGAACAGGCCUCUUAUACCCUGUAGGAGUGAUAUAGUUGCUGUUAUGGUGUGAUCUUUUUGCCUCAUAAUCUUGUUUACUUCACUCUCUAUGAAUCUCAGGAAAGGUUACUGCCUGUUGGCCAUGGUUGCUCUUUUUGGGUGGUAUCUUAGUCUGUCCUGGUGGGGCAGCAGAAAGCAGCGUUGGACAGGAUGUGCCAUAACCCUGCUGCCUUCCACCUGUCAUCAGAGCACUGGCUGUCUGGCCAUGAAGUGAGCACACAACUCAUUUCUCUGCGGUCUCCAGUUUGACUGCUGUCAGUUGUAUCCUUAGUUAUGAGUAUGGAUUGCUCUUUUGCCCUUGCUUUAUAUUUUCAUCUGAUGCUCUCACAUAUUUUCAUUCCUACCUCACUCAUAGCUAUCUAAAUUUUUUCAUCUUUGAAGAGUGAAGGAGGGCAUCCAGCUGCCUUCCAGUGACUUUCUUAGAAAACUUGGAUGAUGCCAGUGGCUCCAGUGUUCAGCCGUCUGCUGUGGGCUGGGGUUAAGAAGGCUCAAAAGGGGUCUUGAAACACUGAACCACCUGUGUGCUUGUGUGUCUGUUCUGCACCAGCCUUGUGGCUUAAUAACACCUCAAACUGUUAUACUUCUUUAUCAAACUUUGUGUCUUAUUAAACCUUGUAGCUUAAUAAUUUAAACUGUUGCUGAAAAGUGUUUCAGAUUGCUUCGCAAUGGAUAAAAGAGAGCAUGUGGUAUUCAGCAAGCAAUAGGCACAACAACCUCAAAGCAAAACUUGAAGCCAAAAAAUCUUCAAGUACAGAGAGAGAUAUGCAAUAUCUAGAGUGGAAUUCGGCUCUAGAUGGAGGCUCUUAUAUUAAUGUGUCUGCCUGUGGGUGUAUACAAAUAUGCUUGGUGUCUAGUUUUUCACUAUGGCCAGAAGAGAUUAGUAGCUCAAUUCAGUUGCCUAAAUGUUGGUGCCAGAAGUUCAAGACGUGUAGUUGGCACAUACAACAAAGGGGAAACCCAUGUCUUUUUGGAGCAGCUGGAUGCCAGGCAGGACACCCCCGCCGUCAAAACACAUUCAUGUGUGAAUCGUGUCUCUAGCCAGUACAGUCAGUAAAGCCUACAGAGCAGCACAGCUCAUCCUACAGCAGAAUCUCAUGGGUGACUGAAUAAAUCAGUUAUAGGCUCCUUGGACUGCAUUGACUAUAACUGGAGGUUAAAUAUCUAGUGCAUAUAUAGAUACCUAAAUAUAAGUGUCCUGACCUUCAGUUGCUCUCAGUGUGAAAAAAGGCAAUGCUGAUUGCAUUCAGCAUGCUUGUUUCGAAAGAACAGUGGGAGAUAUGAAAACGUUUAGGUUACCUAACAGAUAGUGCCAGCAACUACUGAAUUUUGUGACUUGCAUGACUAAUCUGGCCUUUUAUAAGUGGUCUGUCCUUCCAAAGAGAUAUGAUCACAUGGGAAUUCUUUGAGCACUCAUUUCUCAUAUGAACGGAUCCAACUUUUGAUGGCAUGACCCAAACUUGGAUAUCUUCCUACUCUGCUUCUGCUGGGUGAAACAGUCCCUUUUCUAUGACUCCCAGCAAGAAUUUCAGUUUAGGAGAUACGCAUAUCUUUUGUUUCAAAGGGUGGUUUGGUAAAGAAGUAUUUAAGCUGUGACCAACAGCUUGAGGUGUUAUUUAUUACUCACACAGCACCACAAGAGUGCUCUGCAUUGAGUUUUAAUACAUGGCUUAUGAUCUCUGCUUUGAGUUACUUUCAACUUUUGCUAGGCUUCUUUUGGAAUUGGAGUGCUUUGCUAUUCCUCUGGCUUCAAGCUUCUGCCUCUCCUUCAGAAAAGCUGAUCUGUUAGUUCUGACACUGUGACCAACGUGUCCUUUCGUCAGAACUUGUUUGACUCCAGCAAUGAAGCAAAGAGACCCUGAAAUGUCACUGACUGCUGCACGGGCUGCUUCAGUGCAUUCGCUAUUGUUCCAGUGAGUGUGAGCUAAUGGAAAGCAGAACAUGCUUAUUACAGCAAGCCAUAAUUCACUGGCUGAACUCUCCCAGUGUAUGCAGUGACCAGCAUAACAGCUUCAGAACAGCAGCUGGGCCAGAAAUCUGUUGGCUGCACCAUUCUCCCAGCAACAUGGGAAAGAACUAUUUUUCCCAUCUGCUGAACUUUUGUAAUUUCAAAAACGUAUCCAUGUUGCACUGUGCUGAAUGAGAAAAAAAAUCAUGCAGGUGUUGUCCUGGAACAACCAAGACACUGGUGCUUUGGACUCUGCUUUGGGAGGCAGGAAACAAGUCUGCUCACACUGCCUCUCCAAGGGUGGUAAAUAUUAAAUUAUUCGUACGAACUGGGACAGACCUGACAGAGGAUAUUGAGAAAAAGAAACUUUCAAAUAGUUUGGGGUCAUAUCACAUAUCUGAAAUGUCCAGAUAAAGUUCCUGGUCUGAGCUAAAAAGAUGAAAGACGUAUGUCCUCUCCAGUCAGGGCUGAGUGUCUUUUUAUUGACUUCUGUGGGGAUGAUGUUCUUUUGUUGUGACCAGAAAUUCAUCCUGGAGCUGAAAAGCCUUUUCCUAACGGAACUGUUACCAAACCUGGUGCAUUGCUAUGAACUUUGAUUUUAAUGAAUAUUAAUUUUCCAGCCUAUCCGUAUUGAAUUAUACCUCCUGUUUUUUAGAUCAUUUCUCCAAUCUAUUGGGAUCCUCCUGAGUUGUAGUGUUCUUCCCAAAAAGCCUCACAGGCAGUUCAUGCUUAUGAGGUGAGGGAAAGUAGACGGGCCACUGUUGAAAUACCUAUUUUAACUACUAACUAUUUUGACUUUUUUCCUCUCUUGCUCCUCAGCCACCAUCAUUACUGCUGAAAGAGGUGCUUUAUCAUGUUACUUUAGGAUUCACCCCUUCCUGUCCUCAGGUUUCUGCUAGCACAUGGCUCUCCCUGAGGUCACUGCGGCCGCGUGGUGUCCCUGCUAUGACUGCUCCUCCUGCCAGUAUCAUGGAAGAUGGAAUAUGGGUCCCAGACAGGGGGGACAGCCUGCCUGCCUCUUAGUGCUCCAGGGCAACUGGACGUUAAUUAAUUAGCUGCAGGAUGGCCCAACUAUGUUUCCCAGGCAGCCCCGAAGGCAAAGUAGAGCCAGAGAGCUACCAUCUCCGUUCUUCUGGUGCCCUCCAGUGUUGCAUGUCAGUAACAACUCAGUGGAAUAGAUCUCUUCAGAAAAGAUCCUGCACACAUUGUGAAAUAAUAUUUUAUUGGAAAUAUUUGAAGAUCAGACACUGAAUUAAGUAUCAUAAUCAAACAAAAAAAUUACUGACUUCGCAUUAAAUGGUGCUUAGAUCAAAAUAAUUUUAUCUUGGAUCAACUAUUUUUUACUAGCAUAAGCAGUGUAUUAUUCUAUUAAUGGCACAGAAUUUAACCACCCAACUUCCUUUUACCUAGACUGAGAAAGACAGACAUUCAUUUUUAAUUUAGGAAAACAACACUGUGUUCAUGGUAUCUGAGUAGCUAUUCUGGAGUGCCUUAUCAAAGAUGUAACAAAAUUACUCUUUGGCUCACAAAUAAUACUGUACAUAAAUAACACAAAAUAAAAUCAGUCUGUUCUA